CUACGUGCCAGCAGCCGCGGUAAUACGUAGGUGGCAAGCGUUGUCCGGAAUUAUUGGGCGUAAAGCGGGCGCAGGCGGUUAGAUAAGUCUGAAGUUAAAGGCUGUGGCUUAACCAUAGUACGCUUUGGAAACUGUUUAACUUGAGUGCAAGAGGGGAGAGUGGAAUUCCAUGUGUAGCGGUGAAAUGCGUAGAUAUAUGGAGGAACACCGGUGGCGAAAGCGGCUCUCUGGCUUGUAACUGACGCUGAGGCGCGAAAGCCAGGGGAGCGAACGGGAUUAGAUACCCCGGUAGUCCUGGCCGUAAACGAUGGGUACUAGGUGUAGGAGGUAUCGACCCCUUCUGUGCCGGAGUUAACGCAAUAAGUACCCCGCCUGGGGAGUACGACCGCAAGGUUGAAACUCAAAGGAAUUGACGGGGGCCCGCACAAGCGGUGGAGUAUGUGGUUUAAUUCGACGCAACGCGAAGAACCUUACCAGGUCUUGACAUUGAUGGACAGAACUAGAGAUAG
rnacentral:rRNA from 1 species